AUUGAACGCUGGCGGCAUGCCUUACACAUGCAAGUCGAACGGCAGCACGGGUGCUUGCACCUGGUGGCGAGUGGCGAACGGGUGAGUAAUACAUCGGAACAUGUCCUGUCGUGGGGGAUAGCCCGGCGAAAGCCGGAUUAAUACCGCAUACGAUCUACGGUUGAAAGCGGGGGACCGUCGGGCCUCGCGCUAUAGGGUUGGCCGAUGGCUGAUUAGCUAGUUGGUGGGGUAAAGGCCUACCAAGGCGACGAUCAGUAGCUGGUCUGAGAGGACGACCAGCCACACUGGGACUGAGACACGGCCCAGACUACUACGGGAGGCAGCAGUGGGGAAUGUUGGACAAUGGGCGAAAGCCUGAUCCAGCAAUGCCGAGUGUGAGAAGAAGGCCUUCGGGUUGUAAAGCACGUUUGUCCGGAAAGAAAUCCUUGGCCCUAAUACGGUCGGGGGAUGACGGUACCGGAAGAAUAAGCACCGGCUAACUACGUG
rnacentral:rRNA from 1 species